GACGGACCGGACGAACGUUAUUCGGAAUUACUGGGCUUAAAGAGUGCGUAGGCGGCCUGGCAGGUUGGGUGUGAAAUCCCUCGGCUCAACCGAGGAACUGCGCUCAAAACCGCCAGGCUUGAGGAAGACAGGGGUGAGCGGAACUGAUGGUGGAGCGGUGAAAUGCGUUGAUAUCAUCAGGAACACCGGUGGCGAAGGCGGCUCACUGGGUCUUUUCUGACGCUGAGGCACGAAAGCUAGGGGAGCGAACGGG
rnacentral:rRNA from 1 species